rnacentral:rRNA from 1 species
GUGCCAGCAGCCGCGGUAAUACGUAGGGGGCGAGCGUUGUCCGGAUUCAUUGGGCGUAAAGCGCUUUAAGGCGGUUCGCUAAGUCGCGUGUGAAAACUCCAGGCUCAACCUGGAGACGCCACGCGAUACUGGCGUGACUAGAGUUCGGUAGGGGAUCACGGAAUUCCUGGUGUAGCGGUGAAAUGCGCAGAUAUCAGGAGGAACACCGGUGGCGAAGGCGGUGAUCUGGGCCGACACUGACGCUGUAGAGCGAAAGCGUGGGGAGCGAACAGGAUUAGAUACCCUGGUAGUCC